rnacentral:rRNA from 1 species
GAAAAUACGCGACGUGUGUAGUGUCUCUAGAGUGUGCGUGCGCUAUCUAUACGUAUCCCACCUUGAUGGGUGGAGGAAAGGCGGGGAUGACGUCCAAAGUACCACAUGGACCCCUAUACCACACUGGGGCCUAACACACACACUAAAAUGGCCGUCACAAUACGUUGCGACUCCGCAAGAAGUGCUAAUCCCAAAGCGGUCUCAGUACAGAACGGGGGCUGCAACUCGCCCCCGUGAAGGCGGAGUUGCUAGUAACCGCGUAUCAACCAUGGCGCGGUGAAUACGUACCCGGGCCUUGUACACACCGCCCGUCACGUCAUGGGAGUGGCCAAGACCUGAAGUCCGUUCGCUAACCGUUCGCGGAGACAACGGCCGAGGGCCGGGGUCGCGACUGGGACGAAAACGUAAAAAAGGUAAA